AGCUCCUGUCGCUCGCAUAUUGUCCGCCUGUCUCAGUGUGCGUGUGACAGCGGCUGU
rnacentral:pre_miRNA from 1 species